AAGGAAGAUCAUCAUGUUCCUGCUUCCUGCCAUCUGCCAUUUCGAUUUGAUCCCGAGUCGAGGGAAGUUGAAGCGGCAGCGACCUGCGACGAGCAGCAAGCCAGGCAACGAUGAAACGUGGUGCGGGCACGUGCGGGAUUCGAGGUUUCCACGACGAGGAACAACGAGGAAUUGCAAGAGAUAAAAGAAUCCUAACGAUAUCGACACGCUUGAGAGGAUAUUAUAACGACAGGAUUACGAUGCCAAGGUGAAUUCCGCAUUCUGUUAAACAAAUUGGGAGAAAAGAAAUGUAUCUGCGUGGAUGAAAAUAAUGGCAAAAGUCUAGCGAUGGACGGUGUAAGUAUGUGUAUAAGUAUACGUAAACUGUACAAAAGAGUACAUCAAAAACUAAUGAGACUGAUUUGCAUAAUGUUUUUUUUUUUUUUUUUUUUUUAAUUAAUCAUAUGUAAUUAGAAAUUAAAUAAAAAAUGUUUCCGCACGUCUUACAGUUAAUAACGUCAGUUUUGUAUUUUAAAUAUAACAAAAGGAAUUGGACAAGUGCAUUGCGAUGCAGGGAAAAUACUUUCAGAUUCGUUGAAAGAUUAAAUAAAUAUUUUAUUAAAAAUUAAAUUUAUCUCGUUAUCCUUUGAUACACUCUUGUACAUAUAUAAUAAUAACUGUUGCUGCGUGUUACAAUCAAUAUAUUAUGUGUUUGCAUAAUAAAUAUUAAAGAUGCA